rnacentral:rRNA from 1 species
UAAAUCUGCCUAUCAGAGGGGAAUAACAGUGAGAAAUCAUUGCUAAUACCGCAUAUACUAAUUUUAUUGCAUGAUAGAAUUGGGAAAGGAGCAAUCCGCUGACAGAUGGGCUUGCGUCUGAUUAGUUAGUUGGCAGGGUAAAGGCCUACCAAGACGAUGAUCAGUAGCCGGACUGAGAGGUUGAACGGCCACAUUGGGACUGAGAUACGGCCCAGACUCCUACGGGAGGCAGCAG